rnacentral:tRNA from 1 species
UAGCUCAUUUGGUAGAGUGUGUGCCCUGCAUGCACAAGACCCUGGGUUCAAUCCCCAG